AGAAAAGAAAAGAAAAGAAAAGAAAAGAAAAGAAAAGAAAAGAAAAGAAAAGAAAAAGAAGACAGAGAGAAACUAGGGAAAACUAGCUCAGAAUAUUGAGUGGGAAGGUUUGCAUUGGGUUUUGCAUUGGGUUUAGCUAGACAAAUGUUUUUUGUUCUAUUUCUUUAAAACAGAUAUAAUAUUCAGAGGCCAUUUGCUUUAGAGAGGGAAUUAAUCCAUGUAAGACUGAAGACUUAUUUGAUUAUCUUAUUCAGACAUUUUCACUGACUUUAUAUUGUUGAAACAGCCUCAGUGGCCAUGUUUGUACUAAACAGAUAGUACAACAAACAACAAACAGAUAGUUUGUACUAAACAGAUAAAACGUUAUUGGGGUAUAUGCCCCUUUUGUUUAAGUAGUAUCCCCUACACUGGCAUGCUGUUUUAUUUUUCCAUGUCUCCCAGCCAACAACAGCUCUUGAUUUGGGGAACUAUACAUGCAACUGUCCAUCCCCAGCAGGUUGUUUCAAUGGGACCACUCCAGUUGAAGGGUAAAUUUUUGUGAUGGUUUAGUAAAUGAAAUCUAUUACUUAGCCUCAGAGUCUAAGAACAUUUCCUAAUUGGUUGGGUCUAAGAACGGUUCCUAAUUGGUUUUAUUUGGCAGUAGAGUGACUAGAGAGGCAUAUUUAGAAACUGUCAUCAGUGGAAAGCUCUGCUGGAAAAACUUCCUUUUCAGCCACUCUUAUCCUGGCCUAUAAGUCACAGAAAGAAAUAAACUACUGCAUGAUGAUUCUGAGAUAUCUGAGAUGAAUAAGAACAUAGAACAUAGUAUAGUAUCUGAGAAAAGAAUAAUGUCUGAUUUUUUUAUUCAUCACUUUUUUUUUUUUUCAUGGCAUCUUUCAGAUGGAAUGGAUAGAUUUCCUAGAACUACAACUUAUUCUCAACUGAAAUUUACCUGGUGUAGACAAUGCAGAUCAACCACAGGAAAGACAUCUUCAGAAAAUAAUCUGAAAGGCAACCUCUUUAUGACAAAUACAUUCCACUUUACCUGGAAGAGCUCAACUCAUUUUGAAGACCUCUAUUCAGAAAAUAACUGUAAACUAUCUGUGCAAGGAGGUAUGGCUGUCACACAAUAAUUUUUCAGCCAUAUGAUUUGAAAUUAUAUAUCAACAUCUUGAUUAAAAAAAAAAAAA